rnacentral:rRNA from 1 species
UACGAAGGUGGCAAGCGUUACUCGGAAUUACUAGGCGUAAAGGGCAGGUAGGUGGUUUGGUUAGUCUGUUGUGAAAGCUCCUUGCUUAACGGGGAGAGGCCAACAGAUACUGCCAGACUUGAGUAUAGGAGAGGGUACUGGAAUUCCCGGUGUAGCGGUGAAAUGCGUAGAGAUCAUGAGGAAGACCAGUGGCGAAGGCGGGUCUCUGGACAGUUCCUGACACUGAGACACGAAGGCCAGGGGAGCAAACGGG